CCUUGGGUGCUGAUGCUGCAGGUGGAAGUCAUCUGCUGAAGAAGCUCGGACGGGGACUUUCUGUUGGAGAAGUCUGGUAGGAGUCUGAUUGCUAGAGAAGUUCGUCUGAAAUUUAUCUGAUGUAGAAGCUCGUCUGAAGACUGUCUGCUGGAGAGGUCCGGUUUUACGAGGAAUCCAGCAGAAGGUCGAUCGAUAGUGGAGUUCGGAAGGCAUUAUGGAAGUUCGUCCGCUGGAGGAGUCCUGAGGACACUAUGGAAGGU
rnacentral:lncRNA from 1 species